rnacentral:misc_RNA from 1 species
GAUGAAGAACGCAGCGAAAUGCGAUACGUAAUGUGAAUUGCAGAAUUCAGUGAAUCAUCGAGUCUUUGAACGCACAUUGCGCCCCCUGGUAUUCCGGGGGGCAUGCCUGUCCGAGCGUCAUUGCUGCCCUCAAGCACGGCUUGUGUGUUGGGCCUCCGUCCUCCUCCCGGGGGACGGGCCCGAAAGGCAGCGGCGGCACCGCGUCCGGUCCUCGAGCGUAUGGGGCUUCGUCACCCGCUCUUGUAGGCCCGGCCGACGCUUGCCGACACAUCAAUCUUUUUUCCAGGUUGACCUCGGAUCAGGUAGGGAUACCCGCUGAACUUAAGCAUAUCAAUAAGCGGAGGA